UAGAACAUCACAUAGAAAUGUAUUAUCUUUCUCUAAAGCAAUGUUUAACUUUCCUCAUUCAUUCAUCCAAUCAUUAAGUACUUACUGCACACCAACUAUGUUCCAGGCACUGGGAGGGAGGUAAUAAUAAUAAUAGAAAUACCAAUGGAAAAUAUUUACUGAGCAGCUGUUAUGCGCCAGAUCACUUGCUAAGCUCUUAACAUGUGUUAUUGAGGCUUUCCCACAACCCUCUUAGAUAGGGCUAUUUUUGUUUUUUUUAGGAAGAGUAGCCCCGAGCUAACAUCUGCAGCCAAUCCUCCUCUUUUUGCUGAGGAAGACUGGCACUGAGCUAACAUCCAUGCCCAUCUUCCUCUAGUUUUUAUAUGUGGGAUGCCUACCACAGCGUGGCUUGCCAAGCACUUCCAUGUCUGCACCCGGGAUCCGAACUGGCGAACCCCAGGCUGUCAAAGCAGAACGGGCGAACUUAACCGCUGCACCAUCAGGCCGUCCCAAGAUAGGUGCUAUUUUUAUCCCCAUUUGUCUGAUAAGGGGACUGAGUGUCAGAGAUGCAAUAACUUGCUCAAAGUCACAGCUAGUGCUAGAUCCAGAAUAUACAUGAGGUAGUCUGACUCCAGAGGGAAAAAUUAUCACCAUUAAACUAACAAUAGUGCAAGGAAAAAUAGUAUUCCUGCCCUCAUCUAACUUCCAUCCUACUUAAGGAAAUAAACAAGCAAAUAUGUAAUUACAAUUAGCAAUAUACUUUAUGAAAAAAAUGAUAAAGAAUUAUGAAAAGACCUAAUUUAGGUGGCGAGGUAAGGGAAGUUGUCUCUGUGGCAAUGGUAUUUAAGCUGAGACUUGAAGCAGGAUGGGUGGGAGUUAGGCAGGACACAAAUGAGAAGGAGGGAUGGCAUUUCACAUCUGGAGAGAUGAGUAUGGAGAAGGAUACUAAGGUGUUGAGAACAUGGUAGGUUGAGGAACUGAAAGAAAGGCAGCAAAGGGGAGAACGGCAUGAAAUGAGGUGAGGCAGGACUUUGUAAGAUUUUAUUUUAAGUUCUUUGGAACUUAAAUGUUAAAUUUUCUUUGGAAAAUAAUCCAAAAUUUUCAAUCUUUACAUCAUUGUUCAGGGCGUAAUAAGAAGAACAGAUUAGAAGGGGAAAGAGGGCAUUCAGAAAGCCAAUUAGGAUGCUACUGCAGGAGAUCAGGUACAAGAGAGUUUGGCUUUGACUAGAUUAGCAGCAGUAGAAAUAAAGAUAAAUAAAUGAAUUUGAGUACUAGUUAAAACAAAGGUAACAAUUGAUGUGAAUGUGUGUGGGGAUGGUGGUGGUGAUAAGGAAGAGGGACAUGGGUGGAAAAAAUGGAGGAAGUACAGAAAACCAAGAAGAAACAGCCAGAGGGAUAGGAGGAAAACCAGAAAGUAUGGGAUCAAAAAGCCUAGUGUUUAAAGAAAGUGUUCAGUUGUGUCAAAAACCCCUUAGAAAUCAAGGAAAAGGAUAGUGAAAAUUUUCCAUCAUAUUUGCUAACAUGGAGGUCACUAAUGGCUUUUACAUGAAGAGUUUUAGUGGAAUAAUGGGAGCGAACACCAGAUUAGAGGCAGUUAAGGAGUGAGUGCAGACAGCCUGGGUAAACAAUUCUUUUGAGAAGGUUGACUGUCAAGGGCAAUAGCUAGAAAAGGCUAUAAAGUCAAUGACUUAUUGACUAGAGAUAUAUUAAAGGGCACAAAUUAUUUGCUAUUUCUCCCAUUUCUAAUUUCCCUCUCCUUGAUUUAGGGUUGGCUUUACUGACUUACUGACCAGUAGAAUGUGGCAAAAGUGAUGUUCUGGGGCUUCCGAGGAUGUCAUUAAAAGCCUUGCAGCUUCUAGCUGGGCUUCUUGGAAAACUUGCUCUUGGAGCCAUGAACCAUCACCUGAAAAGUCUAAGAACCGACAAGGCCAUGCUCUCAGAAGCCCAAGCUAGCCACACAGAGGCAACAUGAAGAGAGAGAUAGCUGACUGGCCCCGUCUGCUCUGGCCAUCCCAGUGCAGGCAGCAGGCCUUGAGUGAAGAAGCCAUCUUUAACAUUGCAGCCUCAGCAAAUGCAACGUGGAGAACUGAGAAACCCAGCAGACAGCCAGAAAUGAGGCUCCAGGCAUAGGGCCUCAGCAGAAUUGUGUCAACCAUCUUAACCCAGCUGAGACCUCAGUUAUUACGGAGCAGAGGCAGACCAUUACCACUGUGCUCUGAUCCACACUAUAAUAAGCACAAUAAAACUUUAUGUCACUAAGGGUUGGGGAAGUUUUUCCCACAAUAAUAGAUAAUUGGAACAACCUUACCAUAUAGUAGUCGUUCAAUAAAUAUUCAUUUAAUUGAAUAGCACAAUUCACAAAAAUUCAACGUAUUUAAAAUUUUGCAGAAGCACAUGCCAAAAUUGGACAUAGAAUUAUGUACAAAUUAAAAUUUUCUUAAUAUAAUAUAAAAUUCAGCAUUUCAAUCGUUUAGUUGAUCAUUUGCCAUACUACUCAAAAUUAGUGAAAACUUUUAUAUUCAUAAAUUAUUUACACUGAAAUUAUUUAAAUUUCAUGUAUAUUUCAAGCAACUUUUUUUAUCCCCAAAUGUUGAAAAGCAUUCUGCGUUGACUUGACAUACACUUACUUUGUCCCAGGCAUUAUCCUAGGGCUUCAUGUGUAUCAACUCAUUUAAACGAAGAACAGUAAUGCCAGGUGGGUAUGAUUUUUAUCUGCAUUUUACACAAGAGCAAUGAAGCACAAAGAAGUUAAAUAAUACCAUCAAGGUCGUACAGCUAACACUUGAUCAAACAGGGGUUUGAAUCUAGCCAGCCACAGGCUCCAGAGCUGGUGUUUUAACUGCUCAGCUACAUGACAAAGGCUGCCUGGUUUUCUUAAAGCAGUGACAGUCCUUCCCUCCCCCCACCCCACACACAUGUUGUUUGGGUCCUUCCCUCUCACGUCUGUUUGAGAUUGGAGUGCGUGACCAUCAAGAUGGGAGGAAAGUGAAAGAAAAUUCUGGAACUAGGAGCACUUCUCAGACUGGCUAUAACAGUGAGAACCUAAGGGAGAAGGAGGUACUUGACCAGAGAGAUGAACAAGGAAGCUUCCCCUUUCUAUCUCAGCUUAGGUCUGACCUGCCACCCGCACCCCAGGGAUUAUGUGCUGAGCCCUUCAGUUCCAGGAUGCGUUUACGAUUUCCUAUCUGCUCCAAUAUAAAAUCUCUGAGACCAGUUUUACUCAGAGCUUCAUGGACAUUUUAGUUAUGCAAUAUAUGAGGUCUGAAUAUUGUCACACAUCCAAAUAGAACUUAAUUGUUAAGCUUUGCAGUCUCACAUAUACUCAAUAUCUAAUAUUUACGAAUAAAUACAACCCCCUUCUCCCAAAGUAGGCAUAAUUGCAGAAAUAAAGGUGCUGAACUGUUCUUCAGGAAGGUCUUGGCAGUUUUCGAAUAUUCCUUAGCAACAGUAUUCCACAUUAACCUUCAAGCAAAUGACAUUGAACUGCUACCAAACUUUUGUGUCGUGUUACACAGAAGUAUGACUCUGAGUGGUGGAUUCUUGUAACUUUCUCUAAAUGGAUUACUCCCAUCAGGAGAAGCAUUAUGUGUUAGAGGUGACUACUGAUUGAGCUAGCAGGAGAUACGUCUUUAGGAGGAAAAGCAACUUGAAAUUUUUUUAUAAGGUUGACUUUAUCCCAUUGAAAGUGAUGGUAUAUGAAAUGAAAAUAUCUUUUAAAAAAUGAAUUGUAUGUAGAAUACAGUAUAUGUUCUCCCAUGCAUCUAUUUCUUUUUGCAGGUAAGAGCACUAUUCACCAAAUAAUGUUUUCAGUUAAUGUUUUGUAUUAAGCAGAUGUAAUUUCUAGAAUAAUAACAUUUGUGACCAACACCACCCUCACCAUUGGGCAUGCCUUUGCUGGAACUCCCUUUGCACGGGGACAGAAGGUUUGGCUAUAAAUGUGUAUGGUGGUAAAUGUGAAUUUAUCGUAUGGAGGAAGCAUGUCAAUGAAGAGGAAGAUGAGGCCACUCAAGGCCAGUGUGCAACGGUGGAGGGGAGAUCAGCAAGUAACAAACAAAAGCCAGGUUCUGCCAGAGGGCCGGGAUGAAGGCGGUUAGAUAACGAAAUAGCUUCUGGAGAUUUCUCUAAGUGAGGAUUACGGAAACUUAUUGAUGGGUGAUCGAAGUUUUCUCCCAUUCUCUUUUCAUUUCAAGCAAAGAUUAACAUUUUCCCUUAUAAGAAGCCUUAGUUUCUAGACAACGAUAAUUUUCACACCAUGAAAAACUUAAAGCCUUCUAACUCAGCUACUUAAAUAUUACAAGAUUCUGUUCACUGGUAUCAUCUGCUUUCAGAUGAUUUUGCUAUAGUUAUUAUGUUUUAGAGAGCACUUUCUUAUGUUUUAGGAGAAGAUGGCCUCUAGUGCUAUUCAUUUCCGACGGUGCGCCAUCCCAAACCCUGGAAACAGAAGGCAGGCCAGCACGCGCCGGCCGUUGUCGCCCAUUCGCCGUCCAUUCUCAGGCUUCUUCCCGAGGGCGGAGCCGGCCUGGCCUCUGGGCCUCGGCUCCGGAAAGGAGGGCCUCUGCAGCCCUAGGCAGGAAAUGAAGAACUCCUAAAGUGACAUUGCAGAUUGGGAUCUGCGCCCUCUUCUGCUUCCGUCCAGAAGUGCCCUGCCUCAUUCCCUGCAGAACUGAAGGCAAUGAAUCAAAUGAGGACAGCUGCUGUUGCCCUGUAUCGGGACACUUGACAAGCGAUCUUCUUGCGUCUCAGCGUGGCCGAUCCUGAAUCUCUCUUCAGGAGAGAGGCCUCGAAUCUCAAAACCAUUCAGGUCAAGAUAGGACGAGAAGCUUCUUCGCUUCCCACUUCCCUUUGUACUAGGGCCUACAUAACUUUAUCAUAAUUGUGC
ensembl:lncRNA